AGGACGAACGCUGGCGGCGUGCUUAACACAUGCAAGUGGUGCGACGAACCAGGGCUUGCCCUGGGGCCAAGCCGCGAACGGGUGAGUAACACGUGAGUAACCUGCCCCGAUGACCGGGACAACCCGAGGAAACUCGGGCUAAUACCGGAUGAUGUGCACGGCUUUAAGGCUGUGUACUAAAGGAAGCUUCGGCCUCCGCAUUGGGAGGGGCUCGCGGCCCAUUAGCUUGUUGGUGGGGUAACGGCCCACCAAGGCAACGAUGGGUAGCUGGUCUGAGAGGACGAUCAGCCACACUGGGACUGAGACACGGCCCAGACUCCUACGGGAGGCAGCAGUGGGGAAUCUUGCGCAAUGCGCGAAAGCGUGACGCAGCAACGCCGCGUGGGGGAAGAAGGCUUUCGGGUUGUAAACCCCUUUCAGUUGGGACGAAGCUUCGGCGGUGAACAGCCGACCGGAGUGACGGUACCUUCACAAGAAGCACCGGCUAACUACGUGCCAGCAGCCGC
rnacentral:rRNA from 1 species